AAGUCGUAACAAGGUUUCCGUAGGUGAACCUGCGGAAGGAUCAUUAACACGUAUCCACGUAUCAACUAACUGUGAACUUGUUCUCACUUCUCCCUAGACUAAUAGAGCAAAUAGUAAGAGAGAGAGAUUCUAUGAUAGGAUUCAUCUUGUAUGAGUCAAUCUCUCUCUAUUCAGUCUUUACCUGUAAUCGGGUAGGACUAUUGUUCUAUAUAAGUCAGGCUUACUUCUGCUAUCGCUAUGGGACCAUCAUAGCAAGCGAUAGUGGAUUACUAUACUAAUUCACCUAUUUCACACCCUUAUUGCUAGUUGACUUAUCUAUGUUGUCUGUGAUGGGAAUUGAUUUUCCUAUGUAUCAGUACACACGUACAUUAUUGUAAUGUAACUCAACAACUCUUAGCAAUGGAUAUCUAGGUUCUC
rnacentral:misc_RNA from 1 species